rnacentral:rRNA from 1 species
UACAGGGGGUGCAAACGUUGCUCGGAAUCAUUGGGCGUAAAGCGCACGUAGGCGGUCUGUCGCGUCGGCUGUGAAAACUCGGGGCUCAACUCCGAGCUUGCAGUCGAUACGGGCAGGCUAGAGUUCGGCAGGGGGAGACUGGAAUUCCUGGUGUAGCGGUGAAAUGCGCAGAUAUCAGGAGGAACACCGGUGGCGAAGGCGGGUCUCUGGGCCGAUACUGACGCUGAGGAGCGAAAGCGUGGGGAGCGAACAGG